rnacentral:lncRNA from 1 species
UUGGUCAAGGUAGUUUUUGAUGAAGUUGAAGUCCAAUCAACUUGAAACUUAGUAUACAUGUGCCCUAUGAUAUGAUCUUUCUAAUUUAAAUGCCAAAUUAGAGUUUUGACCCCAAUUUUACGGUUCACUGAACAUAGAAAAUGACAGUGCAAAUUUCAGGUUAAAGUUUUUGGUCAAGGUAGUUUUUGAUAAAGUAGAAGUCCAAUCAACUUGAAACUUAGUAUACAUGUUCCCUUUGAUAAGAUCAUUCUAAUUUUAAUGCCAAAUUAGAGAAUUUAUUCCAAUUUCACAGUCCUUUAAACAUAGAAAAUGAUAGUGUGAGUGGGGCAUCCGUGUACUGUGGACACAUUCUUGUUUAUGGAUAUUUUUAAUUAAUAACUUUCCCAGACUAAACACUUAUUGGUACUGAAUAUUCAUUUUAUGCUGACCAAAUCAAUUAAAUUGUCAUAAUAAAGGUAUACAUAGCACCAUUUUGGAAUCAUAUGAAAUAAGUGCCUUCUUAUUACAUGCAAGGUACUGAAAACCCAGCAUUGCUUCUACUAUGGAAAAGUAUUGAAUUGAAAUUGCACACCAACAGUAUACAAGAAAAAGGCAGCAACAAACACUUUAGUUUGCUGUUACUUUACAAGGUGGAAGUCAUUUAAAUAAUUCCUGUAAAUUCAUUUUCAUGGAAUACCAAUUUAUGUGGAUUUCGUGGUUAUAGGUGGACCAUGCAUGAUUUUCAAUGUUUUGUAAAAAUAAAAAAAGUCGACAGGCUUAUAUGCAGAUUUCAGAUAUAAAAAAAAUACAAUCUUUUUUCUCAAUCCACCAAAAAAUUGGUACCCACUAAAAUAUAGAAUCUACAAUAGUGGGUUUUGGCAUACUUGGAAGAUGUCUGUAGUUUGAGACCACAGUUCGUAAAUGUAAUAUUAAUCAGCCAACUUGUUUGUAGUUCUAUACAAGUCUUACAUUGUAGCUUUGAAACAAAUUCAAACUUAAAAAAUAUUUUAUUUGCUAAUAAAUGAGAGAGAUAGCAAUUGGGAAACAUUGUUUCAAAAUGAAAAUUUGUUUACUAGAAUAUAGUUCCUUACUAAGCCACAUUUUACCUGUAGUUUCUUUUCACGUUCACACCAGAAUACAAUUCUAAUAUAUGUUCUUUAUUUCCUUAUAGUUUUUGAUGUCCAUGUUAACAUUUAGUCAUACCACAUAUUUCCUGUCUCUUAUGCAAACUGUAUGAAAAAAAGUCAUAAACCUGUGCCAAGUUAAAUAAAUUAUCAUUAUAAUAAGCCUGUGUCUAACAUUUAUUGAAUGUUUUGACUGUUUAAUAUCAGGGAAUCCUUUCAUAUGUGGGCUGGCUCAUGUCUUUAUUAAUGUCAAAAUUCCUACAAGGAAACAACAAUUAAUUACUCUGUUAAUAAUAGAAUUGAAAGUUUUUCAUGAUAUAGAAAUAAGCUUUAAUAAGUCUUCAUAUGCUUGAUUAUUUAUUGCAAACCCAAUUGUACCUUUCCAUAGAUUCACCUGAUAGCUUGUCCAUUUAAACUUUUGGUAGUUCAUUUGUCCCAUUCAACAAAUACAACAGGUAUAAUAUUUGUCCUCUGUUUAGUUUAUUCACUGGGACCUUUAAAUUUCUUCUAAGAGAAAUCUAUCACUCACUGAUUAAUCUACCUGAGUAAAAAAAAUAUCUGCUAAAUUGAUGGAAAUAACAUGUUUACUUUUAAUUAAAAACUGCAUAUAAGUUUGAAUUUAUUAUAUUUUCAAUCUGUUGAAUGUAAACACUAAUUCAAACAUUAAUAAAAGUUGAUUUCUGAAAAAAAUCCACAUUAUUCCUAUUUCAACAAAAAAAUUGGCAAAAAAACCCUAAAAAAUGGUGAUGUUUAUAUAUUUAUGCCUUCUUAUAAGUAUUCUAUAACUAAACAAAAACUAGAAAAUGCAAAUUUUGACAGGAACAAUACUUAUUUUUUUUAAAUCAAACUUUUUAUGAUUAAAUUGGUAUUUAUUUUGAACAGAUUGAAAAAAAAAUAAUUAUUAAUGUUGAAUAAACACAAAAUAAUAUACAGUUUUUUUAUUAAUAGUAAACAUGUUAUUUCCAUCAAUUUAGCAGAUAAUCUUUUUACUCAGGUAGAUUAAUCAAUCAGUAAUAGAUUUCUCCUAGAAGAAAUUUAAAGGUCCCAGUGAAUAAACUAAACAGAGAACAAAUAUUAUACCUGUUGUAUUUGUUGAAUGGGACAAUAGAACUACCAAAAGUUUAAAUGGACAGGUAACUAUCAGGUGAAUAUAUGGAAAGGUACAAUUGGGUUCGCAAUAAAUUGAAGAAAAAUUAAACAAAAAUACCUUCUAAUAAAUGCUUCUUGUUUGAAAAGUCAAUGUCCAAUUUUGUUGUCGGGUAAUCAUACCACAAAAGUUCUUGGUCUAGGAAUAUUAUAUGAAAUUUGAUCAAACUUUAUCUAAUAACAUUGUAGUGUUAAUUUUGAGAUGAGUUAUAGACUGUCAUUUGCAUUUAGUUCUAGAAACUCUCUAGACUAAGUUUUAGGAGGUUUCCCUUUACAUUUGGCAUUGUCGUACAAAGACGCUUUUUUUGCCAGUUUAUAACAUUUUUAUGUAUGAUAAAGUAUGUUUAUGAAUUUCUAACAUUUCUGUACAUAUGAAAACAUAAUUUAAUAUUUAUAUUUGACUUUAAUUUAAAUCCCUUAAAUAAAUUAUUGUUUUUUAUUUGAUUUAUUAUAUUAAGAAAGUACAUAACAGUCAUAUAAGUUAGCUAUUAAGGUAAAAAUAGAUUUUUUUUAAUGAUAUUUUGUAAUAUUUUAAAGAAG